CCCACAGGUCCUAGGAUCGAAACCUGGCUCUGAUACUCCCUAGGGCAAAGAUAUUUAGUGAAUUAUUUGUUGAAAUCCUUCUUGAAAUGUUUGCUAUGUACAAGAUAUUAAUUGAAAUAUUUAUAACAAGAAGUCCAUGUAGAUAUACAUAAGAUGUUUGCUCAAACGUCUCUUUGAAAUUAUAGCUUAUUUGCUUAAAUGUUUGUACAAUCUAGCAUAUCUGCAUGAGUGUAAGGUGUUUACACAAAUGUUAGUGUUAAAUCAUAUUGUUUAUUGCAUGAGAUCUUAUGUCAUUAAAUUUGCAUUUCUUAGCUGAAAUUAAAUUAUGUGCAUUUGUUUUAUGAUCUUUUACUUGUAAUAUAAAUUAUUGCUAAUAAUAUACAUUAUUAUUAUUCAAUAUAGAUGAAUUUGUAUUAUCAAACUAUAGAAAGCAAUUUUGCGAGGAAUGACAAGAUGCUCAUUGAUGAAGUAACGAAGAUCUAAUCUACGUAGAGUCUUUUAAUCCAUGAUAUCUCGCAUACGAGCAUAUUAUCACAACGGCCUUUUCAUCGGAAAAGCCAAGUUACAAAAUUUUCAAUAAAUAUGCUAAGUAUAAAGGGUUUAGCAUCGGGGGAGAUAAGAAAUUUGAGAAUUUGGGGAGGUGGAUAAUGAGAAUUUGGGAAUGGUAGAGAUCCUUUACUGUGAAACACAAAUUUUCAUAUCUAUCUUCCCUAAGCUCCAUGUUCACAUAUCCAUCGGGUCCAUGUUCACAUAUCCAUCUUUCCUAUGGUCCAUAAAAUCCAUAAUUGUAUUCUUAUGAAUACCUGCAGCUGCUAAGCUAAAAAUUUCUACUUUCUUAGUAUCAUCAAUCUUGCAAUGCAGUCUAAGAAAUGGAACUUCAGCUGUUUCAACCAAGUUGUGUUUAUCAUUAAAAUCAAGGACAAAUCAUUUUCCUAUGGUCGGAUCAAGAUAAAUCAGUUGGGUGCGACAAUUGCAUCGAGCAAGAACCCGUUCUUUUCAUCUUCUACUCAUGUACUUUCUCAUCUCGAAAAUUUUUCCUUAAGCACUGCAUUGGAUUUUAAUGAUCACAUGACUAGAUUAGAUUUUAAUGAUCACA
rnacentral:lncRNA from 1 species